GAUGAACGCUAGCGGCAGGCUUAACACAUGCAAGUCGAGGGGCAGCAUGGGACGGAGAUUCGUCGAAGUCCUGAUGGCGACCGGCGCAAGGGUGCGUAACGCGUGAGCAACUUGCCCGUUUCUGGGGAAUAACCGGUGGAAACGCCGACUAAUACCCCAUAGUAUCAGAUUAAGGCAUCUUUUUUUGAUUAAAGAAUUUCGGAAACGGAUAGGCUCGCGUGACAUUAGCUAGAUGGCGGGGUAACGGCCACCAUGGCGACGAUGUCUAGGGGUUCUGAGAGGAAGGUCCCCCACACUGGAACUGAGACACGGUCCAGACUCCUACGGGAGGCAGCAGUGAGGAAUAUUGGUCAAUGGUCGAAGGACUGAACCAGCCAUGCCGCGUGAAGGUGACGGCCCUAUGGGUCUUAAACUUCUUUUGUAAAGGGAGCAAUAAGGUCUACGUGUAGACUGAUGAGAGUACCUUACGAAUAAGCAUCGGCUAACUCCGUGCCAGCA
rnacentral:rRNA from 1 species